GGCGCGAUGGCCUAGUGGUAAGGCGCCUGUCUCGUAAACAGAAGAUCGGGGGUUCGACUCUCUCUCGUGCCU